rnacentral:rRNA from 1 species
GAAGACUCACAUAGAGGCAGCAGUAGAGAAUCUUGUGCAAUAUACGAAAAGUAUGACACAGAGAGCACAUAUUUAAGCCCGUCAAAUUAAGUGCCAGCCGACGCGGUUAGACUUAAGGGCUUGUCUUUAUAGGUAAAAAGGCGUAAAGGAUGUGUAGGCCGUACAUUUACCUUCAGGUACUGAGGGAAUUUUAUUAAGAGGGUAGGUGGAAUUUUUCUGGAGCGGUAGAAUGCGAGGAUAGAAAAUAGAACUCCAAAGGUUAAAACAACCUACCACAACAUAGGCUGAAACAUGAAGGUGUGGGGAGCAAACAGGAUUAGAGACCCUGGUAGUCCACACAGUGAACAUUGAAGAUUAUGCUCGGCAACCCCGAAAGGUAAAAUCUUCCGCCUGAGUAGUACGAUCGCAAGAUUAAAAUUCAAAAACUUUGGCUGUUCACUACUUCGAUUAGAGGAGCGUGUAGUUUAAUUCGAUGGUCCGCGCGAAACCUUACCCUAACUUGAAUCUGUGACCGGUAUUGCAUGGCCGUCGUAAGUCCGUGUGUUAAGCUAAAAGGGACCCAACCCCGAUUUGGGAGGAAGUCAGGUCUUAUGAUCCGAAUGUUAGGGGAUAAUAUGCGCUACAUUUUCUUAUACAAUGGGAAACAAAAAAAAGUGAAACCCCAAAGUAAGAGCUCGGAAGGUCGCUGUAAAUCGACCGGAAGUUGGAUUUAAUAGUAAUUGGAUAGUAGAGCGUUCCGGUGAAAUGGUACAAGUGUUAGCACAAAUUGCCCGUCACCUUUACCUAGAAUGGUUGUUCGGACGCCUUAGGUGGUUACGAGCGCCUACGAGGUAAAGCAA